UUCAGUUGUUGCCUUUCUCACAAUCUAAUAGUAAAGAUAAUUUAGGUUACAGUUAUGAAAUAGCAAUCAAGUGACACAAUUAAAUUUUUAGAGCAGUAGUUUAUAUAGCAUUUCACA